CAAGUCGAGCGAAUCCCCGCAAGGGGGGAAGCGGCGAAAGGGGCAGUAAGGCAUGGGUAACCUACCCUGGGGACUGGGAUAGCCCUUCGAGAGAAGGGGUAAUACCGGGCGAUGUGCCGGGCCGGCAUCGGUCAGUCACCAAAUGAAUUUCGCCCUGGGAGGGGCCCAUGUGAUAUUAGCUAGUUGGUGAGGUAACGGCUCGCCAAGGCGAAGAUGUCUAGCGGGUGUGAGAGCACGACCCGCGCCACUGGCACUGAGACACUGGCCAGACACCUACGGGUGGCUGCAGUCGAGGAUCUUCGGCAAUGGGCGCAAGCCUGACCGAGCGACGCCGCGUGUGCGAUGAAGGCCUUCGGGUUGUAAAGCACUGUCGAGAGGGAGAAAAGCGAAAGCUUGAUCUAUCUCUGGAGGAAGCACGGGCUAAGUUCGUGCCAGCAGCCGCGGUAAGACGAACCGUGCGAACGUUGUUCGGAAUCACUGGGCUUAAAGGGCGCGUAGGCGGGUCUUCAAGUUUGGGGUGAAAUCCUCCGGCUCAACCGGAGAACUGCCUCGAAUACUGAAGGUCUCGAGGGGGAUAGGGGCAUGCGGAACUACGGGUGGAGCGGUGAAAUGCGUUGAUAUCCGUAGGAACUCCGGUGGCGAAGGCGGCGUGCUGGAUCCCUUCUGACGCUGAGGCGCGAAAGCCAGGGGAGCAAACGGGAUUAGAUACCCCGGUAGUCCUGGCCCUAAACGUUGAGAACUAGGUAGUAGACUAUACAUGGGUUUACUGCCGAAGCAAAAGUGCUAAGUUCUCCGCCUGGGGAGUAUGGUCGCAAGGCUGAAACUCAAA
rnacentral:rRNA from 1 species